AGUGAACGCUGGCGGUAGGCCUAACACAUGCAAGUCGAACGGCAGCACAGUAAGAGCUUGCUCUUACGGGUGGCGAGUGGCGGACGGGUGAGGAAUACAUCGGAAUCUACUUUUUCGUGGGGGAUAACGUAGGGAAACUUAUGCUAAUACCGCAUACGACCUACGGGUGAAAGCAGGGGAUCUUCGGACCUUGCGCGAUUGAAUGAGCCGAUGUCGGAUUAGCUAGUUGGCGGGGUAAAGGCCCACCAAGGCGACGAUCCGUAGCUGGUCUGAGAGGAUGAUCAGCCACACUGGAACUGAGACACGGUCCAGACUCCUACGGGAGGCAGCAGUGGGGAAUAUUGGACAAUGGGCGCAAGCCUGAUCCAGCCAUACCGCGUGGGUGAAGAAGGCCUUCGGGUUGUAAAGCCCUUUUGUUGGGAAGGAAAAGCAGCAGGUUAAUACCCCGCUGUUCUGACGGUACCCAAAGAAUAAGCACCGGCUAACUUCGUG
rnacentral:rRNA from 1 species